GCCAUCGCCACUUUUGAUUUUUAUGAGUUUCCAAAUGCAAAGAAUGGAUCACAAACUUCAGCUCAAAUUUGGUUACAGAAUGACCAAAACAGUGAAGUUGAUCUCAUUAUAUCUGGAUGGGAGACGGAUGGAACCAAAUCAACUGGCUGCUCUAACUUGGAUUGUACUGGCUUUGUACCAGUAAAUGGGGCUCCUAUUACUCCUGGCAAUACUCUAGAUCACAACACUGGACAAACCAAAAACACAUUGAAGAUAUUUUAUAGUCUUGAUGAUGGUGAUUGGUGGCUACACUUUGGGAAUGACAUAGGCAGUCUUAGCGCAGUCGGGUAUUGGCCAAAUAGUCUUUUCAAAAGCUUAGACCAUGUCACGGUUGUAGCAUGGGGUGGAUAUACCUAGGGGCGGAUGU
rnacentral:lncRNA from 1 species